rnacentral:rRNA from 1 species
CAGCCGCGGUAAUACGUAGGCAGCAAGCGUUGUUCGGAGUUACUGGGCGUAAAGGGUGUGUAGGCGGUUCUCUAAGUUUGGUGUGAAAUCUCCCGGCUCAACUGGGAGGGUGCGCCGAAAACUGGAGGGCUAGAGUGCGGGAUGGGAAAGUGGAAUUCCUGGUGUAGCGGUGAAAUGCGUAGAUAUCAGGAGGAACACCUGUGGUGUAGACGGCUUUCUGGACCGCAACUGACGCUGAGACACGAAAGCGUGGGUAGCAAACAGGAUUAGAUACCCUGGUAGUCCACGCCCUAAACGAUGCAUAUUUGGUGUGGGUCAUUCAUUUGAUCUGUGCCGGAGCUAACGCGUUAA